AUUUCUCUAGUAUCAAUUAGUACAAGUGACUUCCAAUCAUUAAGUUUUGGUCUCAACCCAAAGAGAAAUA